UACGUAGGCAGCAAGCGUUGUUCGGAAUUACUGGGCGUAAAGAGUGUGUAGGCGGUGCUCCAAGUGUCUUGUGAAAUCCCACGGCUCACCCGUGGAACUGCUGGGCAUACUGGGCGUCUUGGGCCAACUAGGGGCAGCCGGAACAAGCGGUGGAGCGGUGAAAUGCGUAGAUAUCGCUUGGAACGCCGAAGGUGAAAACAGGCUGCUGGGGUUGCGCCGACGCUGAGACACGAAAGCCAGGGGAGCAAACGGG
rnacentral:rRNA from 1 species